rnacentral:rRNA from 1 species
UUGAAAGGGAAACGAUUGAAGUCAGUCGUACCAGCGGGAAAUCAACCUUUNGAGUGGGGUUUUGGAGUUUUGAAGNGUGUCAAAACCUUUGAGAUUUCAAAAUGCUCGCUCCUUUGGUGUACUUUUUCGUAGGUAGGUUAACAUCGAUUUNGAUUCAUCAUAAAAGGAUUGGAGGAAUGUAGCUUCGAUCUUGUAUUGAAGUGUUAUAGCCUUUGGUAAAUGUGAUGAUUGGGAUCGAGGAUUGCAACGAAUACCCUUUUGGGCUAUCCGCCUGAUCUCUGAUANGUGGCCUUGGCAUNGAAAGCU